GGGUCAGUAAGUUGGUCGUGCCACCGGUACGUACUGGUCUCACUGAUUCCUCCUUCCUGAAGAACCGUAAUGCCAUUAAUUUGGUGUUGCGGGGAAACAGGACCGUUACUUUGAAAAAAUUAGAGUGUUUAAAGCAAGCUAACGCUUGAAUACAUUAGCAUGGAAUAAUGAAAUAGGACGAUCGAUCCUAUUUUGUUGGUUUCUAGGAUUGACGUA
rnacentral:rRNA from 1 species